CCUACGGGAGGCAGCAGUAGGGAAUCUUCCACAAUGGGCGAAAGCCUGAUGGAGCAACGCCGCGUGGGUGAAGAAGGUCUUCGGAUCGUAAAACCCUGUUGUUAGAGAAGAAAGUGCGUGAGAGUAACUGUUCACGUUUCGACGGUAUCUAACCAGAAAGCCACGGCUAACUACGUGCCAGCAGCCGCGGUAAUACGUAGGUGGCAAGCGUUAUCCGGAUUUAUUGGGCGUAAAGGGAACGCAGGCGGUCUUUUAAGUCUGAUGUGAAAGCCUUCGGCUUAACCGGGGUAGUGCAUUGGAGACUGGUAGACUAGAGUGCAGAAGAGGAGAGUGGAACGCAAGGUGUAGCGGUGAAAUGCGUAGAUAUAUGGCAGAACACCAGUGGCGAAAGCGGCUCUCUGGUCUGUAACUGACGCUGAGGUUCGAAAGCGUGGGUAGCAAACAGGAUUAGAUACCCCAGUAGUC
rnacentral:rRNA from 1 species